UCAAGAAACUUCCACAAUGGGCGAAAGCCUGAUGGAGCGACGUCGCGUGAUGGACGAAGUGCUUCGGCACGUAAACAUCUUUUAUGUGGGAUGAAAUUAUUGACAGUACCACAUGAAUAAGGGGCUCCUAACUCUGUGCCAGCAGGAGCGGUAAUACAGAGGCCCCAAGCGUUAUCCGGAAUCACUGGGCGUAAAGGGUGUCGAGGCGGUUGUAUUAGUCGUUCGUAAAAUCUACGAGCUUAACUUGUAGGCGGCGAACGAAACGGUACGACUUGAGGUUUGGAGAGGUGCGUGGAACUCACGGUGUAGGGGUGAAAUUCGUUGAUAUCGUGGGGAACACCAAAGGCGAAGGCAGCGCACUGGCCAAAAUCUGACGCUCACACACGAAAGCUAGGGUAGCGAAGAGGAUUAGAUACCCAAGUAGUCCCUGAGCGGGCUGGCAAGGCGCAU
rnacentral:rRNA from 1 species